GACUCUGGAGUUAAAGUUUGAUCAUGGCUCAGACNUGAGCGGUAGCGGCAGGCCUAACACAUGCAAGUCGAACGGUAACAGGAAGCAGCUUGCUGCUUUGCUGACGAGUGGCGGACGGGUGAGUAAUGUCUGGGAGACUGCCUGAUGGAGGGGGAUAACUACUGGAAACGGUAGCUAAUACCGCAUAACGUCGCAAGACCAAAGAGGGGGACCUUCGGAGCCUCUUGCCAUCGGAUGUGCCCAGAUAGGAUUAGCU
rnacentral:rRNA from 1 species